UCAAAUUGUGCGAAAAAUAAAAAAAUUCACGGUUCCGGUUAUCCCAACCGUUGUGCUACGGCCUUACACCCCGCAACCGCAACCGAGCCACCGCCACCGUUACGGCGACCGCAAUCACUUUUCAAAACCUUGGGUGGAACCCAUUAAAUGUGUGGGUCUUACUCCAUGUGGGAGAGUUGUGUUUGGUUUUGGAAUUGGAUUUUGUGCGCCUUAAAGAAUAAUUAUUGCCUUUUUGUGGCUUUUCCAACAAUUCGUAGCCAGUUUUACUACUAGUGGUGAUCCAAGUCAAUGGAAAGCUUGCAAGUUUUAUAGCCCCCCGUUUAACAAGUCUAAAUAAAGCGAGGAACGUGGUUUUGACAUUUUUUUUGGGUUCUUAAAUGUUUCCUAUGGUCUUUGUAGAGUGAGGCAGAUUACUGGCUUUUACCAGAGGCUGAUGUUAGCAUUACAAACUUGUGGGGGAUCAUGUAUCAUUUAUGGACUGUAAUAUUGAUUUGUAUUGAGUAGACAAAAAGUAGUUAUCAUAGUUUUCAUUGCCCAGAAUUUUGACACCUAAUAAGAAAAGGGAGAAGGAUAGUGUGUGUAUCACUUACAAGAUGCAUAUAACAUGUUUUUUGUAAUAACGUCACAAAAUUUUGUAACAUGAACAAUAAAAUACAGUUUUACUUUUAUCUUGCUAUUGUUUUAAACUGAUGGAAGUUUUGGUUGUGCAGGUGUUUGAGUCAUUAGCUGUGUUGCUUACUGAAUUGGAUGUCUUAGUUGUGCUGAUCUGGCUAUUAGUUGCCCCACUCCCUACACACGACCAGGCAUCACCACUUCAGAUGUGAGAGAUAUUGUAUUAGAAGGAAGUAGACAUCCUUGUGUUGAGGCACAAGAUUGGGCGAAUUUUAUCCCAACUGAUUGUAAACUAUUGAGUUUUUAUGCAAUCUAAGGGAUGGUUACUUUAUCUUACUUCUUUGUCUUUUAAAUAAAAUGGCUCAUUAGUUGCUUAUUUUGAUUUUCAUCACAACAUGUCAGGGGAAAAAGUUGGUUCCAGAAUAUCACAGGGCCUAACAUGGGUGGAAAAUCCACAUUUAUCAGACAGGCAUUAUGUUUCUCUUUUGCUGGAACUCUUCUUUCUCUAUCCAUCCCUCUCAAAUUAAAUAAAUAGUGGAUGUUUUAUUUUUCCAAUAAAUACAACUAGGGUAGUCUGUACUGUUUACAGUGUACCAUGUGUAGGGCCAUGUUUAAUUAAAUAGCUCUAUUGCUUUGGUGUUUCUGAAAAAUUAGAGUUAUUUCUUUUGCAAGUUUAUUUUCAUUCAAUUUG